GGCCCCUUAGCUCAGCUGGUAGAGCACUCGCGCUACUGAAGCGGGAAUGGCAACCGUGCGUGGGUUCGAGUCCCACCGGUGUCA
rnacentral:tRNA from 1 species